GACGAACGCUGGCGGCGUGCUUAACACAUGCAAGUCGAACGGUGAAGCGCCUUCCUUUUUGGUGGGUGUGGAUGAGUGGCGAACGGGUGAGUAACACGUGAGUAACCUGCCCCCUUCUUCUGGAUAACCGCAUGAAAGUGUGGCUAAUACGGGAUAUUCUAGGUCUGUCGCAUGAUGGGUCUGGGAAAGAUAUUGUUUCGGUGGGGGAUGGGCUCGCGGCCUAUCAGCUUGUUGGUGGGGUGAUGGCCUACCAAGGCGGUGACGGGUAGCCGGCCUGAGAGGGUGGACGGUCACACUGGGACUGAGACACGGCCCAGACUCCUACGGGAGGCAGCAGUGGGGAAUAUUGCACAAUGGGCGCAAGCCUGAUGCAGCGACGCCGCGUGAGGGAUGGAGGCCUGCGGGUUGUGAACCUCUUUCGCCAGUGAAGCAGGCCUGCCUCGUUUGUGGGUGGGUUGACGGUAGCUGGAUAAGAAGCGCCGGCUAACUACGUG
rnacentral:rRNA from 1 species